UACGAAGGGGGCUAGCGUUACUCGGAUUGACUGGGCGUAAAGGGCGCGUAGGCGGCUUGUACAGUCAGACGUGAAAUUCCUGGGCUCAACCUGGGGGCUGCGUUUGAUACGUGCGGGCUUGAGUUCGGAAGAGGGUCGUGGAAUUCCCAGUGUAGAGGUGAAAUUCGUAGAUAUUGGGAAGAACACCGGAGGCGAAGGCGGCGACCUGGUCCGAUACUGACGCUGAGGCGCGAAAGCGUGGGGAGCAAACAGG
rnacentral:rRNA from 1 species